rnacentral:rRNA from 1 species
AAUCAGAAAUUCACCAAUUAACCUGAGGAUUUGGUCUUAGUCCACGCUCUUAGUUUCGGCGACAAUCAAACACAUGGUACCAUUCGGAGUACAGUGAGGGUAAAAAAAAUAAAGUUGUUGUUAAAAACACUAUUUUCUGUUAUUUUUUAACCAACAUAAUUAUUUUAAUAUUACGUUAAAUCUAUUUCACUUAACAAUAACGCCAGUGUUGGAGAUUAAGUAAAUAAAUUAGUGUUUGACUUAGUGAUUAGCCCAAAGGCCCGGUAAAGUUUGUGCCAGCCACCGCGGUUAUACAAACGGACCAAAUUAAGAUAGAACAGUAAAAAAAUUAGUCAGGAAAUGAUGACACUAUGCAUCAAAUUAAUAGAAAAAUUAAAUUUUUAUUAUGGAGGUAAAAUUCGCAUAAUUAAAAUAAACUAUUAUUUUCUUCCCUUCUGAUUCUAAGAAAUCUCACUAAGAAACCGGGAUUAGAUACCCCGCUAUCUGAGGCGUAAAACUUAAUUGCACAUUAAAUUUACUAGAGUAAUACGAGGAGGACACCAGUCCUAAUAGUAAAGUAAGAACUUACUACAGCUCACCUUAAAACUCAAAAGACUUGGCGGUACUUUAGAUCCUUCCAGGGGAACCUGUCCUGUAAUCGAUAGUCCACGAUCAACCUCACCUUCCUUUGAACUAUGAAAAUUACCAUCAUAAAUCAACUUGUAUACCGUCGUCGCCAGAUUACCUUUAGAGAGAAAACCAGUUAUCAAUAAGAAGCAUCGCUUACUUCACCAUUAGGAAUUUUAUUUAUCUAACUAUAACAAGUUAGUGGAACUAUAAAUUACUAACUAAAGUAAAACAAUUUCUUCUACACGUCAGAUCAAGGUGCAGUUAACAGGAAGGAAGAGAUGGGUUACAAUAAUUAAUUUAUUAUACAGAUAUUUAUUUGCAAAAAUAAAUUGAAGGAGGACUUGGAAGUAAUCUAUAAAUUUACAAGAAAUUAGAAUGCCUAGAUGAAAAUGGCUAUAAAGUAUGCACAUAUCGCCCGUCGCUCUCGUUAGAAAAUGAGAUAAGUCGUAACAUAGUGAGGGUACUGGAAAGUGCCCUUAGAGAUACUUUAUUAAUUAACAUAUAAAUUAACAU